UUUACCUAUAUCUUUUCCUUUUGUUUUCUUCAAAAUUACUUAGUCAAAAUCGAUUAUUAUUGUCUGAUUUUUGUUGUGUUGUGUUCAUUUGCUUGAUUUCCAUUGGUUGGGGGGUGAAAGGUUUGGAUCGAGUCAAAAAAGGCUCAGAUCUGGCCGUUCAUUUGUUGAUAAGUCAUUUAAGCCAUAGAUCUGCUUUGUAAGUUCAUUUCCUGGGAAAGAUUGUUUGUCCCACAUCGAUGUUUGGAAGGUUGAAACAAUUUUUGGGGUUCUAUAAAUAGAACCCCAACCCUCUUACAAAAAUAGUUUUUGGGAGGUCGGAAAAUUUGGAAAAAAUUAAAAGGGGCUAGAAACUUUGAAUUCCAAGCCUCUUAAGUAUAAAAAUCUUAAGACUUCAACUUAGUUUGAGGUUUUCGGAGUUCUAAAAAUUUGUUUUUCUUUCUUGUUUUCGAGUCUGUGUGGCUGAAUGUGAUUUUGGAACCACAAAGGGCUUUCAAAUUCGAUUUUGACCAUGGCUGCACUUUUAAAAGUGCAUAUUGUGAUCCAGAGACUGCUACCUGACCUCAUAUCUAGCGUUGAGGCCGUUUGCUGACAGAUUUAGGAUGAGCUUCUAUCCAUGCUAGCCCGCCCGAAGAUCUUAUUUUCUGAUGUCUACUUUCAUUCCAGACAUUUUUGGUUAUUUAGUUACACAACAUACAUUCCUUAGACAUGUUUUGGAUUAAAGUCCUUGUACGGUGACUCUCGGAUUUUGGGGUUGUAAUAGUUAGGACUUCCACAUUUACUUCCUUAUUUUAUGGCAUGACUAAAUUUUGAUUUAUCUUGUGCUUGAAUGGUUAAUAACUGAUUGAAUUAGUUAACAUAAAAAUAGACUUGAAUGAGUAGAUGGCUUACAUUUUGGUUCACGCACUAGGAGUUAGUGUGGGUGUCGGUCAUGGCUGGUUGGGUCGUAAUCGAGGUAGUAUCAGGGCUUUAGGUUCAUCGAUCUCGUCGUAUAAGGACAUGUCUAGUAGAGUCUUGCGGAUCGGUAUGGAGACGUCUGUACUUAUCUUCGAGAGGCUACCAGCCACUAGGAAAAUUUCCUUUUCUUUCUUUCUUUCGUGAUACUUGAUUCUAAUUGGUAUCUGGAUGAUUUAAAUUGGUAUUUGACUAUCCUUCGUUCUCUCGCAGAUAGCGAAAACACGCACGACAGCAGGCAGAGGUAGAGGUAGAGGUGGAGGCGCAGGUAGAGGGGCGGCACCAGCUGGGGGCUGAGUCCUAGUAGUUGAUCCCGUGCCUCCAAUAACUCCUAAUGAGGCCGCGGGAGAUGCAGCCACACCAGCUCAGCCAGCGGCAGUGCCAGUUCUGCCAGGGGCUACAGCUGCUCCAGGUAUACCAGAUGCGAUGGCGCAGGUGCUGAAUUGGUUGCAUGGAUUGGCACAGACCGGGGCGAUACCGGCCGUUCCAGCAGGUAGGGGUGCAGGGAUAGCAGCCCCAGAUCCGGAUAGAGUUCAGCAUGCUUGAUAUGAUCCUAUAUGGCACAAAGGGAUAAAAGUGCAAAUUAUCUCUAUAUGAUGUAAAUCAAGACAAAUUGGGCAGCAAUUGCAAGACAAUUGGUGUUUGGAAGAUGAAUAUUUCCACAUGAAGGCUAUUUUCAAAAUUCCCAAAGAAGACUACCAACCAAACAACGCCCUUGCCUCAUUAAUGGAAUUUUUGUAAUAACUUAGUCUUCUUUUAGUCUAGGAGUAUAAAUACUAGACUUAGCUCAUUUCAUUAGUUUAGCUUUGAAAGAUGUUAAGAUCAAUCCUAUAAAUGAGUGAUAGUUUGUUUGGUA